rnacentral:misc_RNA from 1 species
CAGCAAAGGCAAAAAAUGAUGCAAUUACCACAUCAACAGCAACUCCUUGCUCAGCAACAAUUUAGGCAAUCUUCAAUGCAAGGAUUGGGACAGAACCAGCUGCCACAGCUGCAUGAUUUGCAGGGACAGAGUCAGCAGAAGUUUCAGCAGUUACAUGGACAGCAUCAGAUGCAAUUUUCUCAGCCACUGGGACACCAGCAAUUUCAGGGUAGGCAACUGCCCUCUGGGCAUGUUCAGCAUGGCAUGGGUCAAAGUCCACUUAACCAAGGGAAUCAGUUAAAUCGCCAUUUAAGCCAGUUUUCUGGUACUGCAAAUAAUGCACUGUUUAAUGCUGCUCAGGUGGCACCAAAUACUCAGAUGAUUCCAAACAUGUCGGCUACAAUGUCGUCUCAACCGCUUGUGCCACGAAUGCAGUUUGGAUUAACUGGUAGCAAUCCCCAGAGGAGUCAUGCAUCCCAAAUUAUGAAUGAUCAAGUGUUUAAUAUGGGAGUGUCAAAUCCUGGUGGUAUGAUGCCCAUACAGCCGCAGCAGCCUCAACAACAGCAGCAGCUUGGUUCUCAAGGUGCAUUUGGUAAUAUGCCACCAAAUGCACAAAAUUUACAGUCCAGUAUGGUGACACUUCAGAAUGCAUCACAAAAUCAUUCGAAUUUUGUACAACAGAGGCAGCAGAAUCAGCAGUAACUAAAAUUCCAUAUUAAUUUACACCCACACCCACCAAACAACACCACCC